UACGGAGGGUGCAAGCGUUAUCCGGAUUCACUGGGUUUAAAGGGUGCGUAGGCGGGCUGGUAAGUCAGUGGUGAAAUCUCCAGGCUUAACUUGGAAACUGCCAUUGAUACUAUUAGUCUUGAAUACCGUGGAGGUCAGCGGAAUAUGUCAUGUAGCGGUGAAAUGCUUAGAUAUGACAUAGAACACCAAUUGCGAAGGCAGCUGGCUACACGAAUAUUGACACUGAUGCACGAAAGCGUGGGGAUCAAACAGG
rnacentral:rRNA from 1 species